rnacentral:rRNA from 1 species
GAUGAACGCUGGCGGCGUGCCUAAUACAUGCAAGUCGAGCGAACAGACGAGGAGCUUGCUCCUCUGACGUUAGCGGCGGACGGGUGAGUAACACGUGGACAACCUACCUAUAAGACUGGGAUAACUUCGGGAAACCGGAGCUAAUACCGGAUAAUAUAUUGAACCGCAUGGUUCAAUAGUGAAAGACGGUUUUGCUGUCACUUAUAGAUGGAUCCGCGCCGCAUUAGCUAGUUGGUAAGGUAACGGCUUACCAAGGCAACGUUGCGUAGCCGACCUGAGAGGGUGAUCGGCCACACUGGAACUGAGACACGGUCCAGACUCCUACGGGAGGCAGCAGUAGGGAAUCUUCCGCAAUGGGCGAAAGCCUGACGGAGCAACGCCGCGUGAGUGAUGAAGGUCUUCGGAUCGUAAAACUCUGUUAUUAGGGAAGAACAAAUGUGUAAGUAACUAUGCACGUCUUGACGGUACCUAAUCAGAAAGCCACGGCUAACUACGUG